GUCAAGUUCAUCAAACCACACCCGCUUGAAUGAAAAACGGAAGUAACCUGUUCUGAGGACAAUGUUUGAGAUGCUGCCCUCCACCAGAAAUGUCCUACAGAGGGUUCAAUCUCCUAAAACCUCAGUGACUACUAAAUCUGCACUCGGGCCAAACAUGUUGUCUGGUGGCACAACAGAGCCCUCCUAAAGUCACAGAGCACUGCAGUAAGUCUGGAGAGACCAAGGGAAGAAAAUCCCUUUUAAAGAUCGCCAGUGACAUACUCCAAAAAUCUUCUACGUGACAGGACUUUUUUUGAUGAUUUUUCUCCCAGUGUGAAAACUGAAGGCUGAUGAGAAGCUUUCCUUCCGCACCCAGGGACCGCGGACUGAGAACCAGUGCUCUGGAUCUUACAGAGAAAGGCAGACUCCUGUAGAAAGCAAUCUAAACCAGGAGCUUUGCUCAUUAACUUUUGCUGGACUGACGCCACCCAGAGCAAUCCCACGUUCUAUUGUCCAGGGUAUGUUUUAAUGAAGGAAAAAAACCCACCCCAAAAUAUCUCCACUGGUGUCUUUUAUUAAGUAAUGCAAAAUACAGUAUUAAUUAUGACACUGCAUGCAUUUUAGACAAUAUAAAUGCAAGCCUACAGAAAAUGUGACAAAGAAACCCUCAAUUAAUUUUGAGGUAGUAUACAAGGAAAAAUAGGAAAGCAGAAACACAGUGGAUUAAAGAACAAAAUAUUAGUAUCACUUUGUGCAUACAUUAGUCACUCAUAAAUACAUUUGUAUGAAAUAACUUAAGAUACAAUUCCAUUCUUGUUAAAAAAUAUACUUCUUCAAAUUCACUGUUCUUGUUUGUUGUGGGUUUUUUUUUUUUCACAUGACAUUUUAUGGUAUUUUAUCAGGUGGAUUUAUUUUUGAUCACCGCCGUCAUG